UCUUAGAAUCCGAACCAGAAUACAACAAUUUGUAAGAAAUCAAUUGGUCUCACUCUCGUUUCCUUCUCUGCUCUCAGUCCUCGUCUCCACCGUCCCUCGCCACCGCCCACCGCCACAAAAAGGCCUGUAGGGAUUUGCAAUUUAGUGCAGAUAUGGGAAGUGAUAAGUGGGCAAGUUUUUCAGAAGGAACGAGUGAUUCUGAAGGCUAUGGGGAGGAUCUUGAUGAUGAUGACCAUUGCUGUGCAUACGCGUCCGCUGAUAUACCCCAGUUGCAGUUCAGGAAAGAUAUUUCAACAUCGCGGUGGCUUGACCAAUUAGGAAUGGCUGAGGUCGUGGAGAGGAAGGGUGGAUUGUGGACAACUACUGGGAUAGUUCGUAACGGCAAGAUAUAUUGCUUCAUUGAAGAGAUUUUGUAGAUAUCUUGCCGAAAUUGGGGCUCUACAUCUCUUCAGCAACGAUGACACACCCCUUUCUUUGGAACACAUAUACAACAAGGUUGCAGAAGGAAAUAGAGGAUGUUCCUCAGAAUAUUUUGAAGCAUAUAAGCAGUUGAAAUCCCUUGGUUAUAUAGUCGGGCGUCAUGGUAUUCCUUGGUCAGUGAGAAGAUCAAAAGUAAACUCUGUUAUUAGCCAAGAUCCCCCGGAAACUGCUCAAAGUGGAGAUGAAGAAUCAAGAAACAACAUUCUCAUCACUGAAUGUUCAGUAAUAUGCAAAUUGGUGGAUUGAGACUGGCUUUUGACGUUUACCCUCCUAAUAGCAGAUUCAGAAAGUCUACUCCUGGUGAUCCCUGCUUUGUACUUUGUCUUGCUAGUGAGUAUCCACCUUCCAAAGAAGAGAUUGAAGAUCUUGAGGGACAUUCUCAUGGUGUUCCUUUGAAAUUUUGUCUGGUUGAGCAUGGGCGUGUGAGCUUUUUCUCAUUCAACAAAGUUGAGCUUCCUAUCUUUCCAUGAUCCGUUCGAGUAACGAAUGCAAAUCUUGUGAUGCGAUGAGAAGAGCUAUGUUCAUUAAAGAUAGAUUGGUGUGAGCGGUGAUAUUAAGAGCAGCAAGAUUUGCUUAGUCGAUCAUGCUGCUCCACACAGACAACUUUCUUGCAUAGUUACACGGUAUUUAUGCUGGUGGGAGAUGGUGGAGUAGUCAAAGUGCACAAGCUGGCCCGAACACUACUGUCUUUAAAGAAAUAAUCAUGCUGCUCCACAAGGGCGACGUUCUUGUGUAGUUGUGGUUAAGCCACCAUCUUCUACCCCAUGACAGUCUCAACCUGUAACUCUAAAUCCGGCCACAAGAUUCAAGGAUGAACCUUACAUGGAGUUCCAAUUCUGCUAAUUUGAAAGAUAAAACCGAUUAAAGCUUUCAAAUUUUCUCAAAACAACCUCAAAAAGAGGGGCAUACAGCUUGGGAACAGGUGUUAUAUGUGCCAUCAAUGCUCAGAAAGUAGCUUAUUCCUACAUCGCUCAGUGGCUGCAGACUUAUGGAACAUGUUUUAUUCAUUUUUAGCACUCAACUGGGUUAUGCCAGACACUAUCAGGGAUGUAUUCAAAAGUUGGAAAUUACGUCUGAGAAAUGGUCCCUGCAAGUAACUUUGUGUGGGUAUGGACAGAAAUUAAAUCGCAGAUGUUUUGAUGGAGUUGCAACUCCAAAUCACUCCCUAUAAGCUAAAUGUCUUUACAAUUUAUUCUGCUGAAGCUACUUGUCUCCUGUACAUAAUAGUGAUCAUAUUUUGGACUUUGUUAGCUCUCUGAUUUUAUGUUAGAGAGCACUCGUGUAACGGAGCUCACUCUCUCUUUUGUACCUAGCUUGGCAGAUACACUUUUUAGUUUUUAUUGAAAGUGAACUGUAGUAGAUUUAAUAGUGUAAAAAUUAUUUUAUACUUCUUCGUAUCAAAGUUAAACUCCAAAUG